UGGAUAAUUGAUGACCAAAAAAAAAAUCAUCUGGGAGUCCUCUGAGACAUCCAUGAUGACCACAACAUUGGGAGUCUGAGGUCCAC
ensembl:snoRNA LOC120093373 small nucleolar RNA SNORD113/SNORD114 family